GACUUGCCUCGCUGUUGAAGAUAUUCAGCAAAAGAUUAUUCAGUUGAUGAAAGAGAAUGAAGUGUUGCAGGAAAAGGCAAUGGAUGCAGUGCCUGAUUAUAUUAAGGCAUCAGAAGAAUUUCUCUCUAACUCCUGAAAAAUCCACAAAAAUUAGACCGAGCCAAGAUCUUUAUGAGCUUUGGUUUGAAGGCCACUAUGCCGUGCACAGUUACUGAAAAAGAAGAAAGAAGAAGAGGAAGAAAAAGCCAGAGAGGAACAAGAAGGAAGAUCAGACAAUAGGGGCGAGGGUCAGUCAGGAGUUGAUGGAAGAGGUGGUAGGGGAGGAGGAAACACAAAUUUGGGUAGAGGGUUUGGGAAAGGAAUUAGACGAUUCGACUAUGGCGAAGAAGGUGGCAAGGCAGUGA